rnacentral:rRNA from 1 species
AUUGAACGCUGGCGGCAUGCUUUACACAUGCCAGUCGAACGGUAACAGGCCUUCGGGUACUGACGAGUGGCGAACGGGUGAGUAAUGCAUCGGAACGUGCCCAGAGGUGGGGGAUAACGCAGCGAAAGCUGUGCUAAUACCGCAUGUGAUCUGAGGAUGAAAGCGGGGGACCAGGCAGCAAUGUUUGGCCUCGCGCCUUUGGAGCGGCCGAUGUCAGAUUAGGUAGUUGGUGGGGUAAAGGCCUACCAAGCCGACGAUCUGUAGCUGGUCUGAGAGGACGACCAGCCACACUGGGACUGAGACACGGCCCAGACUCCUACGGGAGGCAGCAGUGGGGAAUUUUGGACAAUGGGCGCAAGCCUGAUCCAGCAAUGCCGCGUGCGGGAAGAAGGCCUUCGGGUUGUAAACCGCUUUUGUACGGAACGAAAAGGCUCUGGCUAAUACCUGGGGCUGAUGACGGUACCGUAAGAAUAAGCACCGGCUAACUACG